rnacentral:piRNA from 1 species
UUGUGGCACACUGUGUUCUAAGCACCC